UACGAAGGGGGCUAGCGUUGCUCGGAAUCACUGGGCGUAAAGGGUGCGUAGGCGGGUCUUAAGUCAGGGGUGAAAUCCUGGAGCUCAACUCCAGAACUGCCUUUGAUACUGAAGAUCUUGAGUUCGGGAGAGGUGAGUGGAACUGCGAGUGUAGAGGUGAAAUUCGUAGAUAUUCGCAAGAACACCAGUGGCGAAGGCGGCUCACUGGCCCGAUACUGACGCUGAGGCACGAAAG
rnacentral:rRNA from 1 species